rnacentral:rRNA from 1 species
GACAGAGGGUGCAAACGUUGUUCGGAAUUACUGGGCGUAAAGCGCGUGUAGGCUGCUUCGCAAGUCGGAUGUGAAAGCCCUGGGCUCAACCCAGGAAGUGCAUUCGAAACUGCAGAGCUGGAGUCCUGGAGAGGAAGGCGGAAUUCGUCGGUGUAGAGGUGAAAUUCGUAGAUAUCGAGAGGAACACCGGUGGCGAAGGCGGCCUUCUGGACAGUGACUGACGCUGAGACGCGAAAGCGUGGGGAGCAAACAGG